CCUACGGGAGGCAGCAGUGGGGAAUAUUGGACAAUGGGGGCAACCCUGAUCCAGCCAUGCCGCGUGUGUGAAGAAGGCCCUCGGGUUGUAAAGCACUUUCAGUGAGGAAGAACGCCUGGUGGUUAAUACCCAUCAGGAAAGACAUCACUCACAGAAGAAGCACCGGCUAACUCCGUGCCAGCAGCCGCGGUAAUACGGAGGGUGCGAGCGUUAAUCGGAAUUACUGGGCGUAAAGCGCGCGUAGGUGGCUUGAUAAGCCGGUUGUGAAAGCCCCGGGCUCAACCUGGGAACGGCAUCCGGAACUGUCAAGCUAGAGUGCCGGAGAGGAAGGUAGAAUUCCCGGUGUAGCGGUGAAAUGAGUAGAGAGCGGGAGGAAUACCAGUGGCGAAGGCGGCCUUCUGGACUGACACUGACACUGAGGUGCGAAAGCGUGGGUAGCAAACAGGAUUAUAUACCCUUGUAGUC
rnacentral:rRNA from 1 species